AGAUGGCUCAAGGAGCAGGGAAAGGCUUGGUUUAUAGAAUCGGGACAGUUUUGUUCACUUCAUGUUGGAUCGUUAUAAUGAUAAAGUCAACCGACAGCAAACCACACCCACAGCCUUGAUAACUAAGUGGUCAUGAAUUACUGUCACCAGAGGUCACAGCAGGGUCAUGACAGCAUUAACGGUGCUUCAUUCAACAGGCGGCUAGAGCUCUGAAACAAAACAAAAACACCAGGAGGUCAGUCAGCGUGAAAUGGUCCCUCAUCGAUCAGUGCAAUUAACCGCGAAAGAUAUUUUAAAAUAAAGCAAAAUUCUUGCGUUGAUCUAGCA